UUCAGGAGCUUCUAACAAAGCAGCUGAUACACUCUCCCGUGAAAGUUUCCCAGAAUCAACUGGUUAAAAUCGUCCUUGAAAUGCGGAAAAUAUAGUUAGUUUUUAUAGAAUCAGUAGUAUAUCUAGAGGUGCAUGUUUCUUAUUAACUCUGGUUUCUCUUAGAGCUCCAGGAAGAAAUCACUGCCAGUGUCUCACCCUAUCAUGACAUUUGGGGGG